GGUGAGUAACACGUGGGUAACCUGCCUGUAAGACUGGGAUAACUCCGGGAAACCGGGGCUAAUACCGGAUGCUUGAUUGAACCGCAUGGUUCAAUCAUAAAAGGUGGCUUUUAGCUACCACUUACAGAUGGACCCGCGGCGCAUUAGCUAGUUGGUGAGGUAACGGCUCACCAAGGCGACGAUGCGUAGCCCACCUGAGAGGGUGAUCGGCCACACUGGGACUGAGACACGGCCCAGACUCCUACGGGAGGCAGCAGUAGGGAAUCUUCCGCAAUGGACGAAAGUCUGACGGAGCAACGCCCCGUGAGUGAUGAAGGUUUUCGGAUCGUAAAACUCUGUUGUUAGGGAAGAACAAGUACCGUUCGAAUAGGGCGGCACCUUGACGGUACCUAACCAGAAAGCGACGGGUAACAACAUGCCAGCACCCGCGGUAGUACUUCGCGGUGCUUCGUUGUCCGCAAUUAUUGGCCCGAAUGCCCGGCCGCCGUUUCUUAAGUUUGAUUUCAAACCCGCCAGCUUAACCGGGGAGGGGCAUUGGUAACGGGGUAACUUGAGUGCUAAAGAGGAGAGAGGCAUUUCCCCGUGUAGCCGUGAAAUGCACAGAGAUGUCUACGAACACCACUGACCAAGGCCACUCUCUGGGCUGUAACUGACGCUCAGGCGCUACAGCCUGGAGAGCCGACAUGACUACAUACGCUGGUAGACAACGCCGGAAACUAUGAGGGCUCAGGGGUAAAUGCGAUUCCGCCCUUUAGUGCUGCAGGUAAACGCAUUUACGCAUUCCCCCCCGCGGAUUAAGGCCGGGGAGUAUUGAAAUCCAAAAUGAAAUAAACCGGCGGCCCCCCCCAUUCGGGCCAAAAAAGUUCGUUAAAUUCG
rnacentral:rRNA from 1 species